rnacentral:lncRNA from 1 species
AGUGCGGGAGGUGGGGGAGAGGAGCUCGUUUUCACCUAGGGAAGACGAAUGACAGCCAUAGAAGAAGAGGCAUCAUCCUGUCUCUAAAUGGCAGGAGGACUUUGUAUAAGCCUUCCAGACAAUGGAAGCCAUGUGGGCGAAGACUCAGGAGCCGACCUCUGUCAUAGCAGCCUUUCAAACAUGAUGUAGAAGCGAUAUUCAUCUUACUGGGCCCGUAGACAUGAGAAGGUCACCCAAAGAACACCCUAUUGUCUGAAGGGGCUGCUUCUGUUGUGGCUGGAAUCAAAGACUGGGACAACGACAUCUCUGCUUUAACAAGUUCAUGUAAAGCAAGUAACAAAGGGAUGGAAAGGGACAGAAAAUGAGGGCAGAGAUGCAAAACUUUAGUCCUGUCUUGGGUUUUAAGGAAUGUAUUGGGGCCUCAUGAGACAACUGAGCCUAUACAGGUCCUUACCACCAAGUCUGAUGACCUGAGUUUGUCCUGACUACUGGGACCCACAUGGUGGAAGGAGAGAACCAGACCUUGCAAAUUGCCCUCUGACUUCUACAUGCUCCAUGGUGUGUGCAUGUCCACACAAACAAUAUUAAGAAA